rnacentral:rRNA from 1 species
UAGGGAAUAUUGGUCAAUGGGUGGAAGCCUGAACCAGCCAUGCCGCGUGCAGGAAGAAGGCCUUCUGGGUUGUAAACUGCUUUUGCCAGGGGAUAAAAGAGCUAUGCGUAGCGAAUUGAAGGUACCUGGUGAAUAAGCCACGGCUAACUACGUGCCAGCAGCCGCGGUAAUACGUAGGUGGCAAGCGUUGUCCGGAUUUAUUGGGUUUAAAGGGUGCGUAGGCGGCCUAUUAAGUCAGUGGUGAAAUAUUUCAGCUUAACUGGAAUUGUGCCAUUGAUACUGAUGGGCUUGAGUACAGAUGAGGUAGGCGGAAUUGACGGUGUAGCGGUGAAAUGCUUAGAUAUCGUCAAGAACACCUAUAGCGAAGGCAGCUUACUAGGCUGUAACUGACGCUGAGGCACGAAAGUGUGGGGAUCAAACAGGAUUAGAUACCCUGGUAGUCCACACUGUAAACGUUGAUUACUCGCUGUGUGCGAUAUACA